rnacentral:ncRNA from 2 species
GGCCUUGGUUAAGCGCCUGAUCCCCUUGCGGGGAUGACGAGGUCGGGGUUGAUCGAUCCUUCGGCGGAUACCCCGGGGUCCCGGGAUGGGCCCUCAAUCGCCGCCACAAAACCGGGGAGCGAUUCCCGGCACAAAGGGCGGCGAAGUCCCGAUG